ensembl:lncRNA
GCAGAGUUUGAAAUUUCGGGGUUCUCUUCACUUUUUUGUUUCUUGGCUGAUGCUUUAGUUGGGGUGUGUUGAAGUCUAACACUUCCCCGAGUUGGUUUGUUGGAAAGGAGAAUAAAACACCAGGAGUCAGGUCAAUUACGGUACCGCAUAUUCCGUUUAUUACAAAAGCUUUUGGAGACAAGUGUCGCCGCACAAUGUCUAAACAUGAACUGUCAUAACAGCAUUAUUUAUACUUCAAACACGCCUAAAAAGUGGGGGCGUUAAGGUAGCCAAGCAGUGUGCCAUUGGUCCAAUUUAUGUUCUAUACCUUAUAUGUGUACAUACAGCACAAGCGUCAUAUUUGGGCUUUAUGUCUUCAGCUUGAAGUUCCUCAGUAUUUAUGUGCAUUGUCAAUCUGUGUCCUGUUUGCCUAAGACACCCAAGCUAAAUCUACUUCCUCUUCCUAGCAACCGUCUAAAUAAGAUUUCCUGUUUUUUCUACUUGCAUCUUUCAGUUUCAGCAUUUUGCUACAGACAUUCAAUAUUUGGCCUUAAUGCUUACAACAGUUAUACAUUCAGUAUAUCCACAGGUGUUCUGCAAGGAGGAAGAUUCUUUGUGUUUCUCUUUGUGAUUAAAGUGGUCGACAUCCAUGACGUAUUCAUGUUCGGCUAGAGCAUCCAAGGCUUUAACCUCUUUCCGUCCUCCUGGGAUGACUAUUUUUGGGUAAUUAGAAGCCUUUUUUUUCUGACAUAGUCUAUACUCACUGAUACACAACAAUUGGGAUGGUAAAAGUUGAAAACUAACAUAAGAUUAAAAAUUUGCUGAAGAGUCGAGAUCACAUCUGCUUAGCCCGCCAUCUUGUUCCCCUCCUUGGAGAGUGUGGAUAUCCAUGCCUGCAGCAUCCUGUGGCUGUCAUCACCCCGUUUCGACAGCUGGUAGCUGAUGCUGAUUUACAGGUACCGUUUACCUGAAAUAAGAAAAGUAAAAACGUACAUUUGUGGAGUAUUUCCUGCUCUCCUGAUUACUUCUGGGAUAUCAGAUGCGUUCUCGCUGAACAAGUCACCAACCCAUACAUCCUCGAUAAAAGAGGCGGAUCAAGUACAUAUCUGG